rfam:Bradyrhizobium japonicum TSDA 110 DNA, complete genome.
GGAAGGGUGGCCGAGUGGUUUAAGGCACCGGUCUUGAAAACCGGCGUGCCUGCAAGGGUACCGUGGGUUCGAAUCCCACCCCUUCCG